rnacentral:rRNA from 1 species
UACAGAGGUCUCAAGCGUUGUUCGGAUUCAUUGGGCGUAAAGGGUGCGUAGGUGGCGCCGUAAGUCGGGUGUGAAAUUUCGGAGCUUAACUCGGAAAGGUCAACUGAUACUGUGCGACUAGAGUGCGGAAGGGGCAACUGGAAUUCUCGGUGUAGCGGUGAAAUGCGUAGAUAUCGAGAGGAACACCUGCGGCGAAGGCGGGUUGCUGGGCUGACACUGACGCUGAGGCGCGAAAGCCAGGGGAGCGAACGGG